AUUGAACGCUGGCGGCAGGCCUAACACAUGCAAGUCGAGCGGAGCGGCGGACGGGUGAGUAAUGCAUAGGAAUCUGCCUGGUAGUGGGGGAUAACGUCCGGAAACGGGCGCUAAUACCGCAUAAUAUCAGAUGAGCCUAGGUCGGAUUAGCUAGUUGGUGGGGUAAAGGCCUAACAAGGCGACGAUCCGUAACUGGUCUGAGAGGAUGAUCAGUCACACUGGAACGGAGAUACGGUCCAGACUCCUACGGGAGGCAGCAGUGGGGAAUAUUGUGCAAUUGGCGAAAGCCUGAUCCAGCCAUGCCGCGUGUGUGAUGAAGGUCUUCGGAUUGUAAAGCCCUUUAAGUUGGGAGGCGUUACCAACAGAAUAAGCACCGGCUAACUUCGUGCCAGCAGCCGCGGUAAUUC
rnacentral:rRNA from 1 species